rnacentral:rRNA from 1 species
AUUGAACGCUGGCGGCAGGCCUAACACAUGCAAGUCGAGCGGAUGAAGGGAGCUUGCUCCUGGAUUCAGCGGCGGACGGGUGAGUAAUGCCUAGGAAUCUGCCUGGUAGUGGGGGAUAACGUCCGGAAAUGGGCGCUAAUACCGCAUACGUCCUGAGGGAGAAAGUGGGGGAUCUUCGGACCUCACGCUAUCAGAUGAGCCUAGGUCGGAUUAGCUAGUUGGUGGGGUAAAGGCCUACCAAGGCGACGAUCCGUAACUGGUCUGAGAGGAUGAUCAGUCACACUGGAACUGAGACACGGUCCAGACUCCUACGGGAGGCAGCAGUGGGGAAUAUUGGACAAUGGGCGAAAGCCUGAUCCAGCCAUGCCGCGUGUGUGAAGAAGGUCUUCGGAUUGUAAAGCACUUUAAGUUGGGAGGAAGGGCAGUAAGUUAAUACCUUGCUGUUUUGACGCUACCAACAGAAUAAGCACCGGCUUACUUCGUG